UGUAGAUUCUUAAUUUUUGGUCCCGUUUUCAAAUUGGUCUACAUUAAGGUCCAAAGGGUCCAAAAUUAAACUUAGUUUGAUUUUGACAAAAAUUGAAUCCUUGGGGUUCUUUGAUAUGCUGAAUCUAAAAAUGUACUUAGAUUUUUAUACGACCGCAAAAUUUGAAAAAUUUUUCGUCGUAUAUUGCUAUCACGUUGGCGUCAGCGUCGUCGUCGUCGUCGUCGUCGUCGUCGUCGUCGUCGUCCGGCGUCCGAAUACUUUUAGUUUUCGCACUCUAACUUUAGUAAAAGUGAAUGGAAAUCUAUGAAAUUUUUAACACAAGGUUUAUGACCACAAAAGGAAGGUUGGUAUUGAUUUUGGGAGUUUUGGUCCCAACAUUUUAGGAAUUAGGGGCCAAAAAGGGCCCAAAUAAGCAUUUUCUUGGUUUUCGCACUAUAACUUUAGUUUAAGUUAAUAGAAAUCUAUGAAAUUUUGACACAAGGUUUAUGACCACAAAAGAAAGGUUGGGAUUGAUUUUGGGAGUUUUGGUUCCAACAGUUUAGGAAUUAGGGGCCAAAAAAGGGCCCAAAUAAGCAUUAUUCUUA
rnacentral:lncRNA from 1 species